rnacentral:rRNA from 1 species
UACGUAGGGUGCGAGCGUUAUCCGGAAUUAUUGGGCGUAAAGAGCUCGUAGGCGGUCUGUCGCGUCUGCUGUGAAAUCCCGAGGCUCAACCUCGGGCUUGCAGUGGGUACGGGCAGACUAGAGUGCGGUAGGGGAGAUUGGAAUUCCUGGUGUAGCGGUGGAAUGCGCAGAUAUCAGGAGGAACACCGAUGGCGAAGGCAGAUCUCUGGGCCGUUACUGACGCUGAGGAGCGAAAGCGUGGGGAGCAAACAGG